rnacentral:lncRNA from 1 species
AUCCAUACUGCUUGCUUUAAUAGAUAAAACAGUUUGCAUUGCCACAAUCAUGUUCAUGGGUUUCAAUUUCUUCACAUCCUCACCAACAUUUGCUUGUCUUUUAUAUAGUAGCCAUCUUCAUAGAAAUUAGAUGAAAUUUAAUUGCAAUAUCUCAUUCCUCUGAGGAUUAGUGAUGUUGAGCACCAAGGAUCCUGAAGAGCUAAGAUCAUUUUGAGAAAGAAGAACAAAUGUAUCACAUAAGCUUCAGUAAUCAAAACUAUCAUUUUUUGAUUACUAUCAUUAAGGCAGACAUACAAACUAAUGGAACAGAAUAGAGAGCCCAAAAAUAAGCCCAUGCAUGUACAUUCAACUGAUUUUAAUCAAGGAUACCAAGAACACAAUGCAUGAUGAAAUAAAGAUAAAUUUUCAAUUAAAAAUACUUUAACACAGGACUCUGUUAAUAAAUUACGGUUAAACAUUUCAGUAACUCAUAGCUACGAUGCAAACUGGUAGGAGUAAUUAAAAGGCACCUGUUUUUAAGUCAGAGAAGAUGAUAUGUUACUUAGCACUAAUUUCAUAGUUGCAGAGGUGAGUGUGAUAGUCUCAGAGGGGUAUCAUUAGGAAUUUCAUUGACAGUCAGUGUUUCUGUUGCUGAGCUCCCUUCUGCACAGCUAAGAAAAAGCUGGCUAAAAGCCACAUGAGAUGCGGUAUACUGGAUAUAGAAGAACUUAAUUUUCUGUAAAUUACUAUUAAACAGAAAAAAAAACACAUUCACCAUCUGAUUGGACUGUGCUGAAAGCUGUGAAUAAAAAAUGACAACUUUAUUUAGAAAAAAAAUGUGAUAUAUUUUAAGCUGAGUCUCUUUUCUGCAUUUUCAUCAAAAUGGAAUGAAUGCUAAUUGGCUUGCUUUCUUUUCUUUGGUAAUUUUAAAUUUUGUAGGCUUUAAAAUUAGAAACCUUUGUUUUGACAAGGCGGGCAAGUCUAGUGUACGAACACCCUUCAUUACACAGAGUACACUGUACAUGCUUUCCCCAAAGCACCUGGCAGACUUUGUCAUUGUUUAUACUGGAGAUAAUGGGUAAUCAGGCUAGUGGUUCUAAUGCAACAUUCUUUAAGCAUAUCUUAAAAUAGUAUUUAAGUAAAUGGUCUAAUUUUUUACAUAAUUAUUGCACCUAGCUGUCUUUUUUUUUUUAAAAAAGGUGUUUGAUAAGCUCAGCUAACUCAAGACUCUUUAGAAACUUAUGCCUCAGUGUGCUUGACUUUAGAAGUUUACAGCAUUAUUUGUAAAGUAAAAGAAAUAUAUAAAUAUGAAGUAGCUAAUGUUGAAUGUUAUUUUACUGUAUUUUUAAUGUAACGUGAAGAUUGUGUUAGGCACAUAGAUAUGUAUAAUCAUGUUAAACGUGAGUAAAAUAAAAC